rnacentral:rRNA from 1 species
AUUGAACGCUGGCGGCAUGCCUUACACAUGCAAGUCGAACGGUAACAGGUCUUCGGAUGCUGACGAGUGGCGAACGGGUGAGUAAUACAUCGGAACGUGCCCGAUCGUGGGGAAUAACGAAGCGAAAGCUUUGCUAAUACCGCAUAAGAUCUACGGAUGAAAGCAGGGGACCGCAAGGCCUUGCGCGAACGGAGCGGCCGAUGGCAGCUUAGGUAGUUGGUGGGAUAAAAGCUUACCAAGCCGACGAUCUGUAGCUGGUCUGAGAGGACGACCAGCCACACUGGGACUGAGACACGGCCCAGACUCCUACGGGAGGCAGCAGUGGGGAAUUUUGGACAAUGGGAGAAAGCCUGAUCCAGCCAUGCCGCGUGCAGGAUGAAGGCCUUCGGGUUGUAAACUGCUUUUGUACGGAACGAAAAGACUCUUUCUAAUAAAGAGGGUCCAUGACGGUACCGUAAGAAUAAGCACCGGCUAACUUCGUGCCAGCCGCCGCCGUAA